AUAUGUCUGUAAUCCUAACACUUGUAAAGUACAGGCUGGGGAAUCAGGAAUUCAAGGCCAUCUUGUCUCAAAAACAAUACCCCCCCCCCCCCGACACACAGAGAAUGAUAACAAUACUUAUUUUAUUCUUUUGCACAUUAUUCCUAGAUUUAAGAAGCAGUCAGAUGAAUGUGAAAAUGGAGAGCCUGCUGUUUUUAGUGCUUCAAGUACAAUUCACUGGGAAAAGGAAAAGUCUUUCCAGUACUAAUAAGAGGCUACAGCAUGAAAACUCAAGGCUUGCCUUUGAGAUUACGAAGUACAGACAUGUAUACAACCAUGAGGACAGAGAUUCCGCCACAACAGGAAUUUCUGAUGGAAAUCUUCAGAAUGAUUUUUGGACUCUACAGAACAGAAACACAUGUUGGAAGCCAUUAUUUCCAAACGAAAGCCUAGAAUCACCUCUUGGAGGCAAAACUUGCUGGGGUUAGUUAUGGUCUCAACUUUCUACUUUUAGCAGCACACAGUUGGUGUGUUCUGUCACCUUUGAGUUUCUCUACAUUUAGUUUGAUAUUGGCUGUUGGGUUACCGUAUAUUGCCUUAUUGUGUUUUCAGUUUGAUGAACUACUGAGUUGUAUAGUAGACUCGAAGCUCUCACUUUGCAUACACACUCGUUAAUUUGAGUCAGUAAAUGGAACUAAGUUGGUAUAUUUUAAAUUUCCUUGUAGCUGGAAUCUGAAUUAGAUUUUUUGAGGUUAUUGAGAUGGCACAGUGGGUAGAGGUGCUUGCCACCAUGUGACAACCUGAGUUUAAUCCCUGGGUGCCACAAGGUGGGAGGAGAGAACCUCUUCAAAGUUGUCUUCUGACCUCAACACGGGUGUUGUGACAUAAUCAUGCCUCCACAUCCCAUAAGUAAGGAAAUGUAGCACAGAUUUUAAAAAGAGAUGUUUAGAUAAAGACUAUCACUACCAAUAACUUAAGAUAUAUUCUAAGCAUAUUCGUUUUAGCUUUUAGGUGAUAAUACUUUGUAUGGGUGGUAAGACUUUUAGUGAUUUUUUUUCUGAACAAUCUCCUGGGUUAAACAUCUGUCAUUUUAAGUUGAAGACUGACAAAGACUUAGCCACACGUAGAUGGUUUAGUUCAAAAUAUCUGCAAACACUAUGAAUUACAAAAAUAUAGAAAUAUGAACGUUUUAUAGCUCAGAUUUUCCAUUUUCUUAAAUGAAAGUGAGCCCUAAAUUUCCAUUUUCUUUAUGCCACCUUUACCCUGUCUUGCUGGUUUCACUGUCUGUUUGACUCAGAAUUAUUCUAGGGUAUGUUUCUUAGUUUAAGAAUAGCCAAGUAAUUUCUAGAGAUGCUUUAAAAAAUUACCCCUCUCUUUAUUUUUUAAGUUGAAAAUAACAUUUUCAUACAGUAUAUUCUGGUCAUGGUUUUUCCUCCCUGCCUCUUCCCAAAUCCUCCUCAUUUCUCCAUCCAUUCAAAUCCACACCUUGUCUUUAGAAAACAAAUGGGAUGAUAAACAACUGGAAUAAAACAGAACAGAUAAACCA
rnacentral:lncRNA from 1 species